UUGAUACAUAUUUAUCAGGUGCUUGUUACAUGCUAGGCACCCUUCUAGGUACUGAGGAUUCACUUUUAAAGAGACACAGAAGAUUCCUACUCUCUUGGAGCUCGAACUUUGGUGGUUGCGAGAGACAACAAACAGGAAUUCACUUAAGCAAGAUGUCAGAGGAAUCUAUUAUUGUUAUCUGUUGGUACAGUUGACUGCAUUUCCUUCUGAGAGUUCUACUAAAAUUGUCUGGAUCUCCUCAUUUCUCUCCUGCUAAUAUUGAAAGAUCAGCUAAAUUGAAGAUGGCUUGAACUAAGUCAAAUUCUGUUGACUCCACUUCAUCAUCUGUGGCUAAAAAAAAAAAAAAAAAUCAGAAGUAAUCGUGAAGAACAUUUGACCAUUACUCUCUCAUGUUUAAAAUCCUUUGGUGACUCUCUAAGAGCCAAACACUAAAUAAAGUCUUGCAGAGCACUCUAAAAUUGUUUUCA
rnacentral:lncRNA from 1 species